GGCUUAGAGUUUGAUCAUGGCUCAGGAUGAACGCUGGCGGCGUGCUUAACACAUGCAAGUCGAGCGAAGCACUCCAUCAGAUUUCUCCGGAAAGAAGAUGGUUUGACUGAGCGGCGGACGGGUGAGUAACGCGUGGGUGACCUGCCCCAUACCGGGGGAUAACAGCUGGAAACGGCUGCUAAUACCGCAUAAGCGCACGGAGCUGCAUGGCUCAGCGUGAAAAACUCCGGUGGUAUGGGAUGGGCCCGCGUCUGAUUAGGCAGUUGGCGGGGUAAAGGCCCACCAAACCGACGAUCAGUAGCCGACCUGAGAGGGCGACCGGCCACAUUGGGACUGAGACACGGCCCAAACUCCUACGGGAGGCAGCAGUGGGGAAUAUUGCACAAUGGGGGAAACCCUGAUGCAGCGACGCCGCGUGAGCGAAGAAGUAUUUCGGUAUGUAAAGCUCUAUCAGCAGGGAAGAUAAUGACGGUACCUGACUAAGAAGCCCCGGCUAACUACGUGCCAGCAGCCGCGGUAAUACGUAGGGGGCAAGCGUUAUCCGGAUUUACUGGGUGUAAAGGGAGCGUAGACGGCGAAGCAAGUCUGGUGUGAAACCCCGGGGCUCAACCUCGGGCCUGCAUUGGAAACUGUUUUGCUUGAGUGCCGGAGAGGUAAGCGGAAUUCCUAGUGUAGCGGUGAAAUGCGUAGACAUUAGAGGAACACCAGUGGCGAAGGCGGCUUACUGGACGGCAACUGACGUUGAGGCUCGAAAGCGUGGGGAGCAAACAGGAUUAGAUACCUGGUAGUCCACGCCGUAACGAUGAAUGCUAGUGUGGGGAGCAAAGCUCUUCGUGCGCGCAACGCAUUAGCAUUCCNCUGGGGAGUA
rnacentral:rRNA from 1 species